CGAGUGGCGGACGGGUGAGGAAUACAUCGGAAUCUACUCUGUCGUGGGGGAUAACGUAGGGAAACUUACGCUAAUACCGCAUACGACCUACGGGUGAAAGCAGGGGAUCUUCGGACCUUGCGCGAUUGAAUGAGCCGAUGUCGGAUUAGCUAGUUGGCGGGGUAAAGGCCCACCAAGGCGACGAUCCGUAACUGGUCUGAGAGGAUGAUCAGUCACACUGGAACUGAGACACGGUCCAGACUCCUACGGGAGGCAGCAGCC
rnacentral:rRNA from 1 species